CCUCAGCUGCACCCACUCAUUGCUGAGAUUUUCAGCCCAGCGGCCCUGAUGACUUGGGAAAUGUUUUCCUGGUGCAAUGAGGAACUCUUCAGGCAUUUAUACUCAGGGGAGCCCACUGCUAACACAGCGAAGCCUGCCUCCCAGCACUAGGGCUCAGCUCUGGCUUAGCUGGGCAGGAUUGAAGUUGGAAAGGAUAAUUACAUUUCCUUCUGAAUUCCCUCACUCCACAUGCCACGAGAAAUGAGGCACAGAGAUGAAGCGGAAACUACAAACUGCUAAUAUUAUAGCAUUAUUUAUAUGGUGAUGAAAACGAACAGUCCUUGCACGUAGCUGUGCUACCGGUUUGUGAGCAUCAGCUACAGUGAGCCUGGGGUGGUCCCUUUGCUCUCUGCCAGCCUUGCUGUUCCUUAUCCCUGUCCCGUAGCUCAGCAGCAUGCCAAGCUAGGCAGAAAUGGUCUCCGUGCUUGCACAGCUUGUGCAGACAGAUCCAGAUCAUCACUGGAACAAAAUACAAACUGAUAAUAAUCCCUGUUAUUAGUCCAUUUAAAACAGGUCAGAAAGACUGCCUAAUUGUCAUAAUUGUCUUCUGGCAUUGCCUAUGCAAUAAACCUUUUGGCUCACGUAUAGACAUGUGCUCGACAGUAGGCAUUCCUGUCUUAUAACUGAGUUCAGAGAUUAAUGCCUCCUCUUCGCAUUGCUGCCAUCUGCUGCAGCUAGUGUUUGGUCACUGAGGGACCUUGAUCAAUGGUUGUAGGCUCAGCACCACUGCUGAUGCUUUGCCUUUCCAUACUGCCAUGCUGCAACGGACUAAAGAAACCACUGCACUACUCACACGAACAGUCCUGCAGGUGAACUGAGAGACCAACUAGUCCAUCUGGCCCCUGCCCUGGGGCAGGACAAAUUGAAAAAAUAAAUUAAUUUGUAC
rnacentral:lncRNA from 7 species